GUUAUAUAAGUUUUAUUCUUGAUCUUUAACGGCCCUAAUUUUUUCAUUUGGUGCUUUUUAAGCAUAAAGAGUUCCCACAAAUGUUUUAUUCAACGAACAUUCAAGUAUUUCUUACUCUUCUCUGAUAGCUUCUCUCGUACUUAGUAGCAAUAGUAUUCAAUUUGUGCUGAAGCUUAUUCCAUCUUUCAUAAACCCUAAUCAAAUGAUAAGUUAAGUUCUGUGCUUGUGCACGAAAACCAGUGCUACGUUGAUGUCAUUUGAUCCUCACUUAUUUCUGGCACCUCCUUGGUUUGAAGUCUGUUUGGGGAAUAUCUCGAUAAAUGUUAAAUGUGAACUUGAAUGAAGUGAGGUCAUCAUAUCCAUUUAACUAGUUUAUUUUGCCUCUACUUCGUAAACAGCCUUUAGUGGGGGUGCAAGAGUUUGUUUUGGAGCUUCAUAUUAAAUCCAUACUUCUUUUUGCGUUUUGAUGUUUGAAUUCUUUGGUUUUAUACAAUGUUUGAAGCCUUGAAUACAUGUGUUGGCACGUACUGGAGCAAGUACUUGAUGAGCAAACAGUUUAAUAUAAUAUUCUUUUCCAGUCCUGGUGGCUAUUGGCGAUGAUGAUCUCUGUCAAACAGCAUAUGAGAUUCUUCUAGCUGCUGCUGGAGCUUCAGGGGGCCUCAUUGUACCAUCAAAGGACAAAAAGGAGAAGAAAUCUAGAUUGAUGAAGAAGCUGGGCCGUAGUAAGAGUGAAAAUGUAAUGACCCAGUCACAACAUUUAUCUGGAGUGGUCAGUUUGUUGGAGAUAACGCGUGUCCAGAUGGAGUAGGAAAAUGAAUGACCUUGUUACCUUGUCAGAUGUCAGAUUGCUUCUAGCUUCUGUUGUUCGAUUCACAUCAGUAAUGGCAUGGGAAAUGAAAUAACAUUUAUGAGGCCAUGGACGUCAGGACAAGACUUGGUCUCCUUAAUGCGAUGGUUGGAAAAGUGGGUAAAAGGCGGGAUGGUUUUGCUAAUAAAGUUUCCAUGUGUCAUGCUCAAUUUUUUACGUAGUGAAUCUGGUGUUUUUCUUAACCUUUUCUUGUUUUAAGUAUAGAUUGAGACUGUGUCUGGGAUAUUGGUACUAUGAUGGGUGAAUUCACAACUUGCAAGGAUUUUGAAUUGGGUUGACCGGCCUAUUCAGCAGGAGCGGUGGGUAUCGGUUUCACCUCAACAAACGCAUGGAAGUUCAAUUGUUGAAGUCUACAGGAUUGUGGAAGAGACGGUCGAUCAGUUCUUUGCUUUGGAAGUUCCAAUGAGGCCAGGAGAACUGGGUAGCCUCUUUUGCGGCAUUGAUAAUGCAUUUCAAGUAUAUGCAAAGACCGUUUUAGAUAAGAUUGUUGAAUAGCCUUGAAGGAUACAAGGAUACCAGAUGUCUUGAAGUCUGUUGAAAUUGACGUAGCGGCAAUAUCAACGCUUUGUGUGCAGUUGAAUAGCCUUCAUGUUAGUUAACUUCUACUUUCCCUCUUUUUAUGUAUGAUAAGAUCUCAAGCUGUUAAUCAUUUGCUCUCGUAUGUUUCAUGUUCCUCUUUAUUAUUGAAUCUAAAGGGUGUAUUUCUCUGCACUGGUUUGAUUGGAAAAUCAUGGCUCUGGCCUCUGGCUAGUUUCAUUAGCUUGAAGCUGGACUUUAGAUGCUCUACUUCAUAGUUUGUGCACAAUUCUGUUU